rnacentral:rRNA from 3 species
UUUGAAAUCUGGCCUCCGGGUCCGAGUUGUAAUUUGUAGAGGAUGCUUUUGGCGAGGUGCCUUCCGAGUUCCCUGGAACGGGACGCCAUAGAGGGUGAGAGCCCCGUCUGGUCGGACACCGAGCCUCUGUAAAGCUCCUUCGACGAGUCGAGUAGUUUGGGAAUGCUGCUCAAAAUGGGAGGUAUAUGUCUUCUAAAGCUAAAUAUUGGCCAGAGACCGAUAGCGCACAAGUAGAGUGAUCGAAAGAUGAAAAGCACUUUGAAAAGAGGGUUAAAAAGUACGUGAAAUUGUUGAAAGGGAAGCGCCUAUGACCAGACUUGGGCCCGGUGAAUCAUCCAGCGUUCUCGCUGGUGCACUUUGCCGGGCACAGGCCAGCAUCAGUUUGGCGCGGGGGAUAAAGGUUUUGGGAAUGUGGCUCCCUCGGGAGUGUUAUAGCCCAUUGCGUAAUACCCUGCGCCGGACUGAGGUACGCGCAUCGCAAGGAUGCUGGCGUAAUGGUCAUCAGCGACCCGUCUUGAAACACGGACCAAGGAGUCGUCUUCGUAUGCGAGUGUUCGGGUGUCAAACCCCUACGCGUAAUGAAAGUGAACGCAGGUGAGAGCUUCGGCGCAUCAUCGACCGAUCCUGAUGUUCUCGGAUGGAUUUGAGUAAGAGCAUACGGGGCCGGACCCGAAAGAAGGUGAACUAUGCCUGUAUAGGGUGAAGCCAGAGGAAACUCUGGUGGAGGCUCGCAGCGGUUCUGACGUGCGAAUCGAUCGUCAAAUAUGGGCAUGGGGGCGAAAGACUAAUCGAACCUUCUAGUAGCUGGUUUC